rnacentral:rRNA from 1 species
GACGAACGCUGGCGGCGUGCUUAACACAUGCAAGUCGAACGGAAAGGCCCUGCUUUUGCUGGGUGCUCGCGUGGCGCGGGGGUGUGUAACACGUGAGUAUCCUGCCCUUGACUUUGUGAUAACUCCAGGAAACUGGGGCUACUACCGGAUAGGAGCUCCUGCUGCAUGGUGGGGGUUGGAGAGUUUCGGCGGUUGGGGCUGGACUGGAGGCUUAUCAGCUUGUUGGUGGGGUAGUGGCUUAAAAUGUCUUUGACGGGUAGCCGGCCUGAGAGGGUGACCAGCGACAUUGGUACUACGAGAGGGCGCAGACGCCUAUGGGAGGCAGCGGUGGGAAAUAUUGCGCGGUGGGCGGAAGUGAGAGACAGCGACGCCGCGUGCGUAAUGACGGCCUUCGGGUUGUGAACCGCUUUGGCCUGAGACGAAGCGUGAGUGACGGUAAUGGAUAAAGAAGCACCGGCUAACUACGUG